rnacentral:rRNA from 1 species
GUGGAUUAGAUACCCUGGUAGUCCACGCCGUAAACGAUGAUGACUAGCUGUCGGGGCGCUUAGCGUUCCGGUGGCGCAGCUAACGCGUUAAGUCAUCCGCCUGGGGAGUACGGCCGCAAGGUUAAAACUCAAAGAAAUUGACGGGGGCCUGCACAAGCGGUGGAGCAUGUGGUUUAAUUCGAAGCAACGCGCAGAACCUUACCAGCGUUUGACAUGGUAGGACGGUUUCCAGAGAUGGAUUCCUUCCCUUACGGGACCUACACACAGGUGCUGCACGGCCGUCGACAACU